UUCUUACUAAAGAAACUCAAGAUGUGGCUGCUUUGAGUGAAAGACAAGAGAAUUCAGAAAAUGACCAUCAUCUGAAACUCUUUAAUAAAAAGAGCUUUGCAUUGGCUCCAAGUCUCAGAGGCAGUGCCUGUGAGGUUAGGCUGGCUGGUGUUGAACUUUGAAAUGUCAGGCUCCAUUGCCAUCCCAUUACCUGAAUGAGUCCCUCAUGGUAAGCAAAACAGACAGCAUUUGUUGCCCUGUGUAACGCAUUUUGUCUUCAUUCACUCACAGACAACUGCAGUGACCUGAACUCAGAACUGCAGAGGGUGCUGACAGGGCUGGAGAAUGUUGUCUGCGGCAGGAAGAAGAGCAGCUGCAGCCUCUCCGUGGCCGAGGUGGACAAGCACAUUGAGCAGCUCACCACAGCCAGCGAGCACUGUGACCUGGCUAUUAAGACAGUCGAGGAGAUUGAGGGGGUGCUUGGCCGGGACCUGUAUCCCAACCUGGCUGAAGAGAGGUCUCGGUGGGAGAAGGAGCUGGCUGGGCUGAGGGAAGAGAAUGAGAGCCUGACUGCCAUGCUGUGCAGCAAAGAGGAAGAACUGAACCGGACUAAGGCCACCAUGAAUGCCAUCCGGGAAGAGCGGGACCGGCUCCGGAGGAGGGUGAGCAUGCUGCAUCCAUAAUGGUCAGGCCCUUCCUGGGCAUGGGGCUGAGAGAGGCUGGUGUAUAGCACCAGGGGCACCGUGAGAAUUUUGUGGCAUUUGUAAUUUUGGGAAUCACUGUCUCUUUCCUGUUAUGAAGUCCUUCUUGAAAGUAGUUCGAAAUUGCUAAGGUAUAGAGGUAAGAUUUAAAAAAAAA
rnacentral:lncRNA from 1 species